rnacentral:rRNA from 1 species
CUACAGAGACCUCAAGCGUUAUCCGGAUUUAUUGGGCGUAAAGGGUGUGUAGGCGGACAUGAUAGUCAGAUGUCAAAUUCCAGUGCUCAACAUUGGAGCUGCAUCUGAAACGUCAUAUCUUGAGGCAAGUAGAGGCUCAUGGAACAUAUGGUGUAGCAGUGAAAUGCGUUGAUAUCAUAUGGAACGCCAAAGGCGAAGGCAGUGAGCUGGGCUUGUCCUGACGCUGAGACACGAAAGCGUGGGUAGCGAAUGGGAUUAGAUACCCCAGUAGUCCACGCCCUAAACGUUGCCUGCUAGGUCUUGGAAGUAUCGACCCUUUCAGGACCGAAGCUAACGCGUUAAGCAGGCCGCCUGGGAAGUACGGCCGCAAGGCUAAA